AUUGAACGCUGGCGGAAUGCUUUACACAUGCAAGUCGAACGGCAGCACGGGGCAACCUGGUGGCGAGUGGCGAACGGGUGAGUAAUACAUCGGAACGUGCCCAAUCGUGGGGAUAACGUAGCGAAGUUACGCUAAUACCGCAUACGAUCUACGGAUGAAAGCGGGGGAUCGCAAGACCCCGCGCGAGUGGAGCGGCCGAUGUCAGAUUAGGUAGUUGGUGGGGUAAAGGCUCACCAAGCCAACGAUCUGUAGCUGGUCUGAGAGGACGACCAGCCACACUGGAACUGAGACACGGUCCAGACUCCUACGGGAGGCAGCAGUGGGGAAUUUUGGACAAUGGGCGCAAGCCUGAUCCAGCCAUUCCGCGUGCAGGAUGAAGGCCUUCGGUUGUAAACUGCUUUGUACGGUAACGAAACGGCGAGCUCUAAUACAAGUUUGCUAAUGACGGUACCGUAAGAAUAAGCACCGGCUAACUACGU
rnacentral:rRNA from 1 species